rnacentral:lncRNA from 1 species
CUAACGAACGUAGGCGGCCUUUAGAAGCUGCAAAAGGUAAAGAAAUAGCUUCUCCUUUAGAGCCUCAAGAAGGAAUGAAGCUCUGCCAACAGUUUGAUUUUAGCCCCAAACUCUGAUCUUCAAAAUUGUCCAAUUAGUAUGGUGUCACCAAUAUAUGGAUCCAUGCGAUUGAUUAUCUGUGGAGUGUCCGGAUGGUCCAGGACCCUUCAGAUUAUAUUACGAUGGAGAACAGGAAAAUUAACCAAAACCUGGGCAAGACUGCGAAUGUGUGCUACUAUCCAUCCCAGUUCUGGAGGCCGGAGUUGGAAAUCAGUUUCACUGGGCACACAUGGAGGUGUUUGAAGGGCUGCCCGUGCCAGAGGCUCUCAGGGAGAAUCCCUUCCUUGUCUGUUCCAGCUCUACCUCCUCCUCUGCUGUGUGAGUAAAACCUCCCUCGGCCUCUUUGAUUAGGAUAAGGUGUAUUUAGUGUCUAGCAGGACAAUCCAGGAAAUUCUUCCCAUCUCAAGAUCCCUAACUUGAUCCCUUCUGCAAAGACCUGCUUUCACUCCCAUCUGCAAACACCAUUUCCGGGUUCCAGGGAUAAGCCCUGACAUCUGUGGGUGGCCGUUAUUCAGUUACCGACAGUGUGGCAUGAUGAAAAUGAAGUGUUAAAACAAGGACUGCAGUAUUGUUUAUUCCAGCAAAUGGUGAGUGGUCCAUCCUUCUCCAAGCCCUUUCUCUUCUUCUUCUCAUGGUCUCUGGCAUCUGGGAGAGUCCACGUGGCCUGGGUUGGGCUAACAGAUACCAGCAGAAGUGAUGCGUACAACUUCCGGCAACCUAGGUGCACUUGUCUCGCCCUCCCUGGGAGCAGAUCCAUCCUCAAACCUGCAGACAAGGAUAAUGCUGUAGUGGGUACUGAGAAAAAAAAAAAAAAAAAAAA